CCUACGGGGGGCAGCAGUGAGGAAUAUUGGUCAAUGGGCGGGAGCCUGAACCAGCCAAGUCGCGUGAGGGAAGGCGGUCCUAUGGAUUGUAAACCUCUUUUUUCUUGGAGCAAAGAGACCACGUGUGGUCAAAAGCGAGAGUACCCGAAGAAAAAGCAUCGGCUAACUCCGUGCCAGCAGCCGCGCUAAUACGGAGGAUGCGAGCGUUAUCCUGAUUUCUUUGGUUUAAUG
rnacentral:rRNA from 1 species